GGUAGGGUGGCCGAGAAGCUAUGGUUCCUGACUGUUAAUCAGGCCAACGUCGGUGCAAGUCCGGCCCCUACCGCCA
rnacentral:tRNA from 1 species